UACGUAGGUGGCGAGCGUUGUCCGGAUUUACUGGGCGUAAAGAGCGCGCAGGCGGUCGUACAAGUCGCGUGUGAAAGCCCCCGGCUCAACUGGGGAGGUCACGCGAUACUGUUCGACUCGAAGGCAGGAGAGGGAAGCGGAAUUCCCGGUGUAGUGGUGAAAUGCGUAGAUAUCGGGAGGAACACCAGUGGCGAAGGCGGCUUCCUGGCCUGUUCUUGACGCUGAGGCGCGAAAGCUAAGGGUAGCAACGGGG
rnacentral:rRNA from 1 species